UUAAAAUAAAGUUUUAUUCUAGCUUAAUUGUUUGAUUUUUAAAUUAUUUUAUAUGUAAAUUUUAGUGUAAAUGAGUAAGUUUUAAAUAGACUUAUUAUUUGUUUGUAGUUUUAUAUAUUUGCAAUAUGGAAGUUUAGUAUUUAAAGAAAUUUUGAUUUAGGAAUUUAUAAAAGUAUUGGCUAAAUUUGUGCCAGCAGUCGCGGUUAUACAUGUGAUACAAUUAAACAUUUUUAGUUAUUAAUUAAUUGAGUUUUUAUUUAAUUAAAGUUUAAAUUUAUUAGGUGAAAUUAUUAAGUUUGAUUUAAAUUAAAUAUUAAAAAAUAAAGUUAUGAAAUUUUUGGUUUAAACUAGGAUUAGAUACCCUAUUAUUAAAAAUGUAAAAUUUUAUACUAGAGUAGUAUUAGCUAUGUUCUUGAAAUUCAAAGAAUCUGGCGGUAUUUUAGCCUAUUCAGAGGAACCUGUCCUGUAAUUGAUGGUCCACGAUUAAUUGAACUUAUUUUAGAGGUUUGUAUAUCGUCGUAGUUUGAAUGUUUUAAAAGAAAAUGGAAUGUUCAAGAUUUAAAAUUUUAAAAUAAAUCAGAUCAAGAUACAGCGUAUAAAUAAGAAGAGAUGGGUUACAAUAAAAUUAUUUAAAUGGUUAAGAUAAUUAACAUUGUUUUAUAAAGUGGAUUUGAUAGUAAUAUGAUUUAGUUAAAUUAUAUGAUUAUAGCUCUAAAAUAUGCACAUAUCGCCCGUCACUCCCUCUUUAAAGUGGGAUAAGUCGUAACAAAGUAGGUGUACUGGAAAGUGUACCUAGAAUGA
rnacentral:ncRNA from 1 species